GACGAACGCUGGCGGCGUGCUUAACACAUGCAAGUCGAACGGAAAGGCCCUGCUUUUGUGGGGUGCUCGAGUGGCGAACGGGUGAGUAACACGUGAGUAACCUGCCCUUGACUUUGGGAUAACUUCAGGAAACUGGGGCUAAUACCGGAUAGGAGCUCCUGCUGCAUGGUGGGGGUUGGAACGUUUCGGCGGUUGGGGAUGGACUCGCGGCUUAUCAGCUUGUUGGUGGGGUAGUGGCUUACCAAGGCUUUGACGGGUAGCCGGCCUGAGAGGGUGACCGGCCACAUGGGGACUGAGAUACGGCCCAGACUCCUACGGGAGGCAGCAGUGGGGAAUAUGGCACAAUGGGCGGAAGCCUGAUGCAGCAACGCCGCGUGCGGGAUGACGGCCUUCGGGUUGUAAACCGCUUUCGCCUGUGACGAAGCGUGAGUGACGGUAAUGGGUAAAGAAGCACCGGCUAACUACGUG
rnacentral:rRNA from 1 species